UACGGGGGGGGCAAGCGUUGUUCGGAAUUACUGGGCGUAAAGGGCUCGUAGGCGGCCAACUAAGUCAUACGUGAAAUCCCCCGGCUUAACCGGGGAACUGCGUCUGAUACUGGAUGGCUUGAGUUCGGGAGAGGGAUGCGGAAUUCCAGGUGUAGCGGUGAAAUGCGUAGAUAUCUGGAGGAACACCGGUGGCGAAGGCGGCAUCCUGGACCGGUAUUGACGCUGAGGCGCGAAAGCUAGGGGAGGCAAACGGG
rnacentral:rRNA from 1 species